GUUCCAAUUAACAACCGUGUGUCAAAAUUUGUUUUGAACUUUUUUCAUUUACUGUUCAGCAUUUUCAUUUUGUUUGACAGGUCUUGUUUUCAACUUCUCAAUUAGUUUUUUCUGGUCGGCACUUUCAUCAACUUCUUUUGUUUUUUCAAAAAUAAUUCGACCUGCUGCUACAAGAGGGUCUCACAUGGUAUUCGGAAGACCUUGAAUUAACUUCAAAUCCUCAAGUGUUAAUUUUCCCUUAACUGUCCUUGCAUCAAUAAUAAGUUUAGCUCUUGCCUCCCCAAUAUCCUUAAUUGUAAUUAGUUCCUCUUUACUUGCCGUGUUUAUAUUCAC
rnacentral:lncRNA from 1 species